rnacentral:rRNA from 1 species
AUUGAACGCUGGCGGCAGGCCUAACACAUGCAAGUCGAACGGUAACAGGAAACAGCUUGCUGUUUCGCUGACGAGUGGCGGACGGGUGAGUAAUGUCUGGGAAACUGCCUGAUGGAGGGGGAUAACUACUGGAAACGGUAGCUAAUACCGCAUAACGUCGCAAGACCAAGGAGGGGGACCUUCGGGCCUCUUGCCAUCGGAUGUGCCCAGAUGGGAUUAGCUAGUAGGUGGGGUAACGGCUCACCUAGGCGACGAUCCCUAGCUGGUCUGAGAGGAUGACCAGCCACACUGGAACUGAGACACGGUCCAGACUCCUACGGGAGGCAGCAGUGGGGAAUAUUGCACAAUGGGCGCAAGCCUGAUGCAGCCAUGCCGCGUGUAUGAAGAAGGCCUUCGGGUUGUAAAGUACUUUCAGCGGGGAGGAAGGGAGUAAAGUUAAUACCUUUGCUCAUUGACGUUACCCGCAGAAGAAGCACCGGCUAACUCCGUG